GACGUAGGGCGCGAGCGUUGUCCGGAUUUAUUGGGCGUAAAGAGCUCGUAGGCGGUUUCGUAAGUCGGGUGUGAAAACUCUAGGCUCAACCUAGAGACGCCACCCGAUACUGCGAUGACUAGAGUCCGGUAGGGGAGUGUGGAAUUCCUGGUGUAGCGGUGAAAUGCGCAGAUAUCAGGAGGAACACCGGUGGCGAAGGCGGGUCUCUGGGCCGAUACUGACGCUGAGGAGCGAAAGCGUGGGGAGCGAACAGG
rnacentral:rRNA from 1 species